GAUUGGCUACAGGUUGGUCUAACCGUAUCAAUGUUCUAAUGUUCUGAUUGGCUGCAGGUUGGUCUAGCAUGUAAUGACCAAAUACUCUGAUUAAUCAUAAGUUGGUUCUGGCCCAGACUAGGUGUUGAUGCUCUGAUUGGACAACAGGCUGGUCUGGCCCCGUGGACUUCGCUCUGACUCUGGGUUGUUCUAGCCCUGUGAACAUUAUACAGUUAAUGGCCUUAGUGGCUACAGGUUAGGUCGCCCUCCGAAUGUUUGAGUCUCGUUCUAGCCCAGUUACCCCCUAAUGCCAAGUCCCAGGGAGGAGGGUGCCCAUUUGUGCUGUGAUAGGGCAGCUCCAUUCCCAUUUUCUGACAUCAUUAGCUCCGCCUACAUCCAUGACAUCACAGCGGGCAUCUCGUGUCAGUGUCACACCUUGGGGUUGAACAUGUUUAACUGCAGCAAUUUGCUCUAUAUCUUGCAGUUGCUAAGGAGGGCAGAUUGGCCCAGAUGGGCGGGGCCAUGCAGUAUCCAUGGUAACUAGAUACCGGUCAGGUACCAAAAAUCAGGCGCCUUCCUUGUUCUGUUUGUACGGCGGCGGAUAUAAAGGUGUGGGGUAUAGAGGGGGCAGUACUGGGGCAGGGGAUGCGCAGGUUACAGUAUAACCCCCGAGGUCUGUGUUUCUUGGAAAGCAUCUCUGGGUAUGAAUGCGGCAGGCCCGGCCGCGGCACAGAUCCAGGGGGCAGAAUACACACGGGGGGGUGCAGGAUAAAUAAACCAUAUGCGCUACAUAGUAAUUCCCAGACAGUAAUGGAUCAGGAAGAGCUUAGCUCUCUGGGUCUUUAUGGGAAUAAGUAGAACAGUAGCUUUAAGCCCGUGUCGUCUGGUGCUUUGGUUUUCCCAUUAGGAGCGAUGCCAGCGCGGCGUGUCUGCCCAGCGCCCGAUGAUAGUGGGGCACUAGCGGCGCCCAUGGCUGUGCCAAUCCCAGGUGGCACGUUUGGGUCAUAAUAAAAAGCCAUUGCAAUGUGUUACAGAACCUCCCCGGGCACAUUUAUAUUUAAUGCCCGCUGGACCCGACAGUAUUGGGCCAUUAUGGUGCCGGUUGGACUGGGCGACGGGGCACCGGGAAAAUAUCUGCUGACCCAGGUGUGUGAGCUGUUGGGCCAUAGCUGGCUAAUCAUGUACCCAAUGAAGGGCCAGUGCUUUAUAUUGAAGUAUAGGGGGCGCUCUGCCCUUGGCACCUAUAGCGCUGAAUGUAUAUCCUCCAUUCCUUGUCUCUACCCUCCUUUCCUGGGGUGCAGUUAAUGUACCCCCUCACUAUGAAAGAAAAUGAAGGAUCCUAUUUAGGUAAUGUGAAGGCGCGACCCCCCCCCCAGCCCCCAGGUCAGGAGCCGUAUUUCCAUUUUACAGAAAUCCAUGUAUUUAUUGUGUUUUUCAGGCGCAUUUAGUCAGACAAUGGCAAUGAAUUAUUCAGCGGGCGCGUUUAAUGGAAAGGAAACUGGGUUGGAAACCAUUAAAACGCGCCGGGGCCCCUAUAGGUCCGUAUUGCUGUUCCGCCGGGUCUGCUCAUGAAAUAUUCAGGCCCAGUGUGUGUUCUGCAUCCAUCAUCCGAGUAAUAAACGCUUCAGCCUAUAUAUCUGUACCCGCA